rnacentral:other from 1 species
GUACUCCUGCGUUGUUCGUGAUGCUCUUGUCUUGAGCCAACACAUCUGUCUAGGGCGCUGGAAUCCAUUCACGGCCUCGCUUCCCUUUUGGGAGGCCUGACCGUAGGAAGGUGCCCACCUGCGAAAGCAGGUUCAAGACACUCGGCACACGGCAGGGCGGGAGUCCC